rnacentral:lncRNA from 1 species
CACCACCAGAGGUCCUGCUACGUCUCCAGCAACUUACCUUUGAUGUGGCUUUAAGAGAGGUGCCUUCUCUAGUUAACUACCAUUUGCAACACUGCAGGGAAAUCCCCCAAGUGUAGGCCUGUCUGCUCUACAGUGAACCUCUGAGAGCUGAGUUGCUCCGGGCCACCUGCCGAAUCUUCAUAUGGCACCCCUUCAACCUUGGGCGAUGGUGAAAUCACCGACUCUCAGGAAGAAGACGAGACACCAGAGCAAGCUUUCUCUCUCUGCGCCGUACUGCACAAAAAAGAGACCAUGUGAGGACACAGCGAGAAGGUGGUUGUCUGCAAGCCAGGAAGCAGGCCCUCACCAAGAACCAACCUGCCCGUGCCUUGAUCUUAGACUUCCCAGCCUCCAGAGCUGUAAGAAAUAAAUGUCUGAUGUUUAAG